rnacentral:rRNA from 1 species
GACGAACGCUGGCGGCGUGCCUAACACAUGCAAGUCGAGCGAUCGGCCCAGGAGGGGCAACCCACCUGGGUACGGAGCGGCGAACGGGUUAGUAACACGUGGGCAACCUGCCCCAGGCUCUGGGAUAACCCCGGGAAACCGGGGCUAAUACCGGAUACUCUCCCCGGGCCGCAUGGUCCGGGGAGGAAAGCUCCGGCGGCCUGGGAUGGGCCCGCGGCCUAUCAGCUCGUUGGUGGGGUAACGGCCCACCAAGGCGACGACGGGUAGCUGGCGUGAG